rnacentral:rRNA from 1 species
UGAGUAAUACAUAAGUAACCUGCCCUAGACAGGGGGAUAACUAUUGGAAACGAUAGCUAAGACCGCAUAGGUACGGACACUGCAUGGUGACCGUAUUAAAAGUGCCUCAAAGCACUGGUAGAGGAUGGACUUAUGGCACAUUAGCUGGUUGGCGGGGUAACGGCCCACCAAGGCGACGAUGCGUAGCCGACCUGAGAGGGUGACCGGCCACACUGGAACUGAGACACGGUCCAGACUCCUACGGGAGGCAGCAUG